CACACACAAACUGGUUUGUCCCAUGUGUUUGUGUCCACAGGAGUCAGGUUGAAUACAGCUGUGAGCGGUGUGGGGGUCAGGUGUCGAGCCUGAGGUGUGGUUUCCAUACGCUGCCUUGGGUUCUCAUUUUACACCUGAAGAGGUUUUGCCCCUUUACCCUCACCAAAAGCAUGGCACCGCUUCAGCUGGAGGCAGAGCUCCAGAUCAAACAAAGCACUGCUCUGUCAGUGCUCCCAGAACUGACCCAAUCCUAGUGUGCGCGUACCAUUGUCUCCCGAGACUGACAGAUGCCAGACAGCCUGACCUGCACCUCCCCAGAAUUGGAACCACGCGGCGACACGGACUGCAACAACUGUGACUGGUCCACCCCCGAUGUGUGUGGGUGUGUUAAUAAACA